UAGGAAAGACUGGAGAUACCUUUGGUUCUUCGACACUAACUCCUAAUGGCACAGAGCGCCAUAAGAAACGGAGUUAGUAUGGAAAAAACAUAAGUAUC
rfam:Donggang virus, complete genome